GCGAUAAUAGCUCAGUUGGGAGAGCGUCAGACUGAAGUCUUCAACGUCAGUCACUGCAAUCUGAAGGUCACCCGUUCGAUCCGGGUUUGUCGCA